CCAGCCAAGGAGGUGUCACUGCCCAGCACUCGGGUGCUAGGCGGUUUCACCGCCCAGCCAGGCGGUUCCACCGCCUGGCUUUCCGAUUCAUUGGUUUGGCUUAAUUUUCGCCCAAACCAAAUCUGACUUUGGGCCCAGUUGGCCCCUAACCAGGAUAUAGGAUUAUCUCUUAAUCCUAAUCCUAAUUACAGGUGAACUACAUAAC
rnacentral:lncRNA from 1 species